CAUCAUCACCAUGGUUACUGGUUUGAUGUUGGCAGAUCAUCGUCAUCACCAUCAUCCCGCCAUGAGGAAAGUCCUGCGUCCGCCACUGAGAAGCCAAAGAGACCUCAGAGACCGAUUGCAUCAUCAACACUUGAGGGCUAGACUAGUGUCAUGGACCGCAAGUGUAUUUGAACGACUGGAACACUCAAGAACAGAACUGCAAUACGGCGUUUUCCACUCUAACAUCACACUCACUGACGCCGAACGCCGCGAAGACGAAAAACGGAUGUGACGUUAUUAGAAAACCAGCAAUAGUGUAUUUGAACGACUGGAACACCCAAGAACAGAACAGCAAUACGGCGUUUUCCACUCUAACAUCACACUCACUGAUGCCGAAAGCCGCGAAGACGAAAAACGGAUGUGACGUUAUUAGAAAACCAGCAAUAGGAAGCAGGAAGUGUUGCGGCUGUAGCGGUACCGUGGCAUGACGAUUCCGGGGGUCGUCUUUCCAGGAUGCGGCGGAACGACAAAGCAGGUUGCAGUGAGUUGAAUAGUACCUGAAAGUCGGAGGGGUGUGGCCACGGGUGUGUUGACGCCAGAGUGUCUGAGGGAAGUCACGGAAGCUGCAGCAGGACAGAAGCUCCGCUGAUCUCCGGUAAGAGCCGACUUAUUACCACAGUUUUCUCACUGAAAACUACCGGUUGACAUGUAGUCGGGAUCCAUGUUCGCUUGACCGCUCUGAUCCAUGGUAAAGCUUCACCUCCGGGAAUUUUAAACAAGGAAACACCGUGUGUUUGUGUGGCUGAAGGCUAAAAGCUUCCCACCUCCAUCUUUCUACUUUGACUUCUCCAUUAUUAAUUGAAAA